rnacentral:rRNA from 1 species
UACAGGGGGUGCAAACGUUGCUCGGAAUCAUUGGGCGUAAAGCGCACGUAGGCGGUUCGUUAUGUCGGAUGUGAAAGCCCUUGGCUUAACCGAGGAAGUGCAUCCGAAACUGGCGAGCUAGAGUACGAAAGAGGAUCGCGGAAUUCCCGGUGUAGAGGUGAAAUUCGUAGAUAUCGGGAGGAACACCGGUGGCGAAGGCGGCGAUCUGGGUCGAUACCGACGCUGAGGUGCGAAAGCGUGGGGAGCGAACAGG